rnacentral:rRNA from 1 species
AAUGAACGCUGGCGGCAGGCCUAACACAUGCAAGUCGAACGGAUCCUUCGGGAUUAGUGGCGGACGGGUGAGUAACGCGUGGGAACAUACCCUUUGGUACGGAAUAGCCUCGGGAAACUGGGAGUAAUACCGUAUGUGGUCGAGAGACGAAAGAUUUAUCGCCAAAGGAUUGGCCCGCGUUGGAUUAGGUAGUUGGUGGGGUAAUGGCCUACCAAGCCGACGAUCCAUAGCUGGUUUGAGUGGAUGAUCAGCCACACUGGGACUGAGACACGGCCCAGACUCCUACGGGAGGCAGCAGUGGGGAAUCCUAGACAAUGGGGGAAACCCUGAUCUAGCCAUGCCGCGUGAUCGAUGAAGGCCUUAGGGUUGUAAAGAUCUUUCAGGUGGGAAGAUAAUGACUGUACCACCAGAAGAAGCCCCGGCUAACUCCGUGCCAGCCGCCGCGGUAA